rnacentral:rRNA from 1 species
GACGAACGCUGGCGGCGUGCUUAACACAUGCAAGUCGAACGGAAGGCCCUGCUUUUGUGGGGUGCUCGGGUGGCGAACGGGUGAGUAACACGUGAGUAACCUGCCCUUGACUUUGGGAUAACUUCAGGAAACUGGGGCUAAUACCGGAUAGGAGCUCCUGCUGCAUGGGGGGGGGUGGAAAGUUUCGGCGGUUGGGGAUGGACUCGCGGCUUAUCAGCUUGUUGGUGGGGUAGUGGCUUACCAAGGCUUUGACGGGUAGCCGGCCUGAGAGGGUGACCGGCCACAUUGGGACUGAGAUACGGCCCAGACUCCUACGGGAGGCAGCAGUGGGGAAUAUUGCACAAUGGGCGGAAGCCUGAUGCAGCAACGCCGCGUGCGGGAUGACGGCCUUCGGGUUGUAAACCGCUUUCGCCUGUGACGAAGCGUGAGUGACGGUAAUGGGUAAAGAAGCACCGGCUAACUACGUG